rnacentral:lncRNA from 1 species
AUACUAUCAUAUCAAGGGACACAACUUGUACAACAUAUCAACCACGAGGCCAAAGUAGCUGAUUAGGGAAGUUAAUUAGGGAGGUUAAUUACCGAUCACUGAGUCGCUGUUUAUUUGUGAAUACGGUAAGUUGACACAGAUUUACUUUAAGGCUGUAAUAUUGUUGAUAAUACUAGUAAUAAUAAGGUAAAUAAUAGAAUUCUGUGAACCUCUCGAUGUUACAGUAAUUAUUUUUCCAAGCGGGAACCUGUCGAUAAUUAGGAAAAUAUAGUUGUUCGUCUUAAUUAAUAAUUUCCAAACUGAAAUGUUGAUCUGUUGUUUAUAAAAUACUAUGACCGACUGAUACAUGUGAUAUAAAGUAAAUUAGUUGGUAAAAAUGAAUGUAAUGUGGCAUAAUUUAGUAAAAUGAGAAAAACCGAUUGAAGAAUACCACAUUAAUUAAUUCUGUCCCGUUGUUAAUGAGGCAUUGAUAAAACGGUAAGUUAAUGAAGAUUUGCUUUAAGGUUAUAUUAAUAAUCGUAAUGGUGGUUUCAAAUUUUGGCCCAGGGCGAGCGGGAGUCGAUGACACGGGCCCCAGAAUUUCCUGAAAGGGAUGAACGGCAAAGUGAACCUCGGCUAUAUUUGAACCCAAGACUUACUGUCGAGAUCGACUCUGGGAUCCUUUCGGUUUGAACGGCAGUUUUUAAAAAUAUUUUCCACGUAACUAAACACUUUUAAACUUCGUAUACUGGUAGAAUGUGUUUAUAAAACAUGUUUUUCUCUUGGCUUUAUUGAGAAAAUUCUAUAGUUUGUAAGAUAUUUGUUGUUUAUUUUCUUCAAUUUCAACCAAUCAAUGACGUCUAUUGAGGUGAAAACAUUCUGUGCUGUAUGAAUAUGUCCCUCGUUUAAGAAACAGAUUGGGUUUAUUUACAUUUCUGAAGAAAAAAAGAUACCCUUCCCUCAACCCUAAAACAGAUUGAAAUGCAAUAGAUCGAUACUAGGGUCAUAAUUAUGGGUGGACACUAAAAAGGGAACGGUUUUGUUAUCCAGCUCUGUUUACGAGAGACCUCUCAGUUUAUGGUCACAGGGUAUCUUUUUUCUCAUAAAAAUCAGGGACAUUUUCAUAUGACGCCGCCAGUAUAUGUUACGGCAGAAAUCGUUUUCACCUCAAUAGACGUCUUUGAUUGGUUGAAAUUGCCGAAAUGCAAGAAAUUAAACAACAAAUAUGUUACAAACAACAGAAUUUUCUCAAUAAAGCGAAGAGAAAAAGAUGUUUUAUAAACACAUUCUACCAGUAUACGAAGUUUAAAAUUUUUUAGUUACAUAGAAAUUAUUUUAAAAAUCUGCCGGUCAAAGCGAAAAGUUCCUAAUGAUGUGUAGGGCACUGACCAUGGGCUCAUGGUAGACCACAUGAAGAGAGGGACCUUCACUGCUGGAUAGCUAGCGAGCUGGUCCAGAAAAGGGAAUUCCGGUCGGGCAACAUGAAGUCUUAAAUCAAACAUUUUUCUGAAAGGUAAAGGUGAAGUGUGUAGUAAACUUGUGUGGGUAUACCAAUGUUUCAACACCUCAAUGAACUCUGACCCCUGUAAACAUUGACAUUAAAUGGCUGACAGUGUUACUGUUGUAAUAUUUACAAUGUUGAAUUACUAUGUCACUUAACUAUCCUCUUUAUCUUACUGUUUCUUUUUCUAUUUCAGAAUAUCACAUCAUGUUGACGUGAAAGAAAUUACUUCAUUCAGAUGUGCCUUUGAUAUUUUCAUCAACUAAAGGAAGAUGAUAUAUUUAUAAGGAGCAUUCAUCUAUACAUCAACGUUUCUAUAUAAAUAUAAUCUAU